AAGCCGUAUGCUUUCACCUGCUAUUUUAGCAUUAAUCGAGGUGGGACUAGAAAAGAUCCUGGAAAUUGAGUUCAGUUGUCCUUGUGUACCGAAACUCAAUGCUGGAUAUAGUGUGUGCGUCUUUAUGAUACCAGCACUGGUAGUCUUGUUUCUUAUGUUAUCACAGAAGUGGACAGGCAUUAAAGACUGCUACAAACGCUUCCUAAUUGCAUUAGUUCCAACAGUGGCUUGGCUCAUCAUAACUUUCUUGGAUGGAAGAUACUUUGUUUGUUCACAAGCUUAUGGGACAGGCAGUUUCAAUGUGUCCCUACAUACUGAAGGCUUGGCUCAAUCAUGCAAUAUGAAAGAUGAAGCAAUGACAGAAAAGGAAACACUGGAUCUUAUUAAAAAAUAUACUGCAACAUCUCAGGUUAUCGGUGCUGGACUUUCUGUUUUUUUCGCUCUGUUUUUCAUGAUCUCAGGGUGCUUUGGGUACUUAAUGAGACCUGCUAAAGAUGACAUUGAAAAGGGAUGCAAGGAAAACCCUAAAGAGUCACACGAACUGAGCCAGAUGACAUGAGAUGAGAUGAUGGCAGUAAUUGGUUGGAUAAUUUGGAACAACGCACAUAUAUCUGAGGCGCAGUCACGUGAUUUGCAAGAACAAGGAAGACAUGUUUUUUUAUAUUUCCUCUAAAGAGAAUUAAAAUUUGAGUGCAGGCUAAUUUUUUGUUGAAGAAAAUGAAUGAUAUGUAUUCUUACAUUACCUCCGAUUAGGAAAAAUCACAAAUCAUAAAAUAAUAAUUCUGAGAGUACUAAAAAGUAAUGGCGUGUAACUAGUUUUUAAGUAUUUUCCAGAAUGUAAUAUAUUCUGAUUGCAAGCAUUGUGCUAUUUAAAUUUAGAAAGUUCCAACAAAGAACUUGGUUGAAAUAUUAAAAAAAGAAGAAUUAUGAACACCACAGGUUCAGGAUAAUGUGACCAAAGAAAUCAGAGGGGUUUUUUUUGCAUUUGUUCAGCGUCUGAAAGUUGAUUUUUAAAAGUUUGAUUUUCAUGCUUCCUAAUUCCAUGUCUGCUCUCUCAUUAUCUUCAGAUUUUGAUAAUUUAUGCAACCACUUGGCUAUAGAGCUGAAGUGAAAUCUCUAAUGCAAGAUCAGACGAGGUGGUUAGAAAUGGUGGCUUAUGUUAUGUUGUUUUGGGAAGAAGCAUGAUUUGGAAGAAAGCGCUGUGUGAAUUCCCCUGGGCUGUUUAAACACAAUGUGUUCCUCUUGUUACACUAUACUUUACAGUUGGAUUAUCUCUCUCACUUUGUGUUUAUUCUCUGUGUUCUAAAGUUUGAUUAAAAGCUAAACUAAACCAAAUGCAAGUGUUAUUAUUCUUUCAGUGAUAUG